rnacentral:hammerhead_ribozyme from 1 species
GUAUUGCUGAGGAGUCUCACAAUAGGACGAAACAGUCGUUCAGUAC